CUUCAUGACCUUGGAUUAGAUAAUACAGCACCAAAAGCACAAAAAAACAAAAGAAAAAAUAGAUAACUUGAACUUCAUCAAAACUAAAAAGCUUCAUCAUCAAGAAGUGAAAAGACAGCUCACACAAUGGGAAAAAAUAGCCAAAUCCAUGUAAGCAGAAAGUAGAUUUGUGGUUUCCAGAGUCCAGCUUGAAGUGGGGAUGGGGAGUGGCUGCUAAUAGGUAUUGGGCCUCUUUUUGGAGGAGUGAUGAAAAUAUUUUAAAAUUAGAUAAAGUGAUGUUUGCACACUUUGUAUGUUCACAGAGUACUAAAACCCAUUGAACUAUAUACUUAAAAGAGUAAAUUUUAUGGUGUGUGAAUUGUGAAGCUAAUUUUUUAUACUUACAUAUCUAAUUCAGUAAUGCUAGAAAAAUGACAUAUACACAUGCAAAAAAA
rnacentral:lncRNA from 1 species